GCUUUACUGUAACUUGAAAUUGAAAUUGGACUUUAUUUGCGCAGUAUAGGUGGGAGGCGUUGAGAAUAUUCUUGCGGGAAUAUUGGAGCCAUCAGUGAGAUACCACUCUUGUAAUGUUAGAUUUCUAACUUUGAAUCAUUAUCUGGUCAAAGAACAGUUUCAGGCGGGCAGUUUGACUGGGGCGGUCGCCUCCCAAACGGUAACGGAGGCGUACAAAGGUUUCCUCUGAACGGGUAGAAAUCGUAUCUAGAGUGCAAAGGCAUAAGGAAGCUUGACUGUGAGACCUACAAGUCGAGCAGGGACGAAAGUCGGUCUUAGUGAUCUGACGGUGCUG
rnacentral:rRNA from 1 species